rnacentral:rRNA from 1 species
UACGUAGGGUGCAAGCGUUAUCCGGAUUCACUGGGUUUAAAGGGUGCGUAGGUGGGCAGGUAAGUCAGUGGUGAAAUCUCCGGGCUUAACCCGGAAACUGCCAUUGAUACUAUCAGUCUUGAAUACCGUGGAGGUAAGCGGAAUAUGUCAUGUAGCGGUGAAAUGCUUAGAUAUGACAUAGAACACCAAUUGCGAAGGCAGCUUACUACCCGAAUAUUGACACUGAGGCACGAAAGCGUGGGGAUCAAACAGG